GGAGAGCUUGCUCUCUGGAUCAGUGGCGAACGGGUGAGUAACACGUGAGCAAUCUGCCCCUGACUCUGGGAUAAGCGCUGGAAACGGCGUCUAAUACCGGAUACGAGCUGCGAAGGCAUCUUCAGCAGCUGGAAAGAAUUUCGGUCAGGGAUGAGCUCGCGGCCUAUCAGCUAGUUGGUGAGGUAAUGGCUCACCAAGGCGUCGACGGGUAGCCGGCCUGAGAGGGUGACCGGCCACACUGGGACUGAGACACGGCCCAGACUCCUACGGGAGGCAGCAGUGGGGAAUAUUGCACAAUGGGCGCAAGCCUGAUGCAGCAACGCCGCGUGAGGGACGACGGCCUUCGGGUUGUAAACCUCUUUUAGCAAGGAAGAAGCGAAAGUGACGGUACUUGCAGAAAAAGCGCCGGCUAACUACGUGCCAGCAGCCGCGGUAAUACGUAGGGCGCAAGCGUUAUCCGGAAUUAUUGGGCGUAAAGAGCUCGUAGGCGGUUUGUCGCGUCUGCUGUGAAAACCCGAGGCUCAACCUCGGGCCUGCAGUGGGUACGGGCAGACUAGAGUGCGGUAGGGGAGAUUGGAAUUCCUGGUGUAGCGGUGGAAUGCGCAGAUAUCAGGAGGAACACCGAUGGCGAAGGCAGAUCUCUGGGCCGUAACUGACGCUGAGGAGCGAAAGGGUGGGGAGCAAACAGGCUUAGAUACCCUGGUAGUCCACCCCGUAAACGUUGGGAACUAGUUGUGGGGUCCAUUCCACGGAUUCCGUGACGCAGCUAACGCAUUAAGUUCCCCGCCUGGGGAGUACGGC
rnacentral:rRNA from 1 species